rnacentral:rRNA from 1 species
GGCCUAACACAUGCAAGUCGAGCGGUUGUAGCAAUACGUCAGCGGCGCACGGGUGAGUAACGUGUGGGAAUAUGCCUUUUGGUUCGGAACAACUUUUGGAAACUAGUGCUAAUACCGGAUGGUCCCUUCCGGGGAAAGAUUUAUCGCCGAAAGAUUGGCCCGCGUUGGAUUAGCUAGUUGGUGAGGUAAUGGCUCACCAAGGCGACGAUCCAUAGCUGGUCUGAGAGGAUGAUCAGCCACAUUGGGACUGAGACACGGCCCAAACUCCUACGGGAGGCAGCAGUGAGGAAUAUUGGACAAUGGGCGCAAGCCUGAUCCAGCCAUGCCGCGUGAGUGAUGAAGGCCUUCGGGUUGUAAAGCUCUUUUGUGGAUGAAUAUAAUGACUGUACCCCGAGAAUAAGCCCCGGCUAACUUCGUGCCAGCAGCCGCGGUAAUACGAAGGGGGCUAGCGUUGUUCGGAAUCACUGGGCGUAAAGGGUGCGUAGGCGGUCUUGUAAGUUGGGAGUGAAAUCCUGGAGCUUAACUCUGGAAUUGCUCUUGAUACUGAAAAACUUGAAUUCGGGAGAGGAGAGUGGAAUUGUCAGUGUAGAGGUGAAAUGCGUAGAUAUUGACAGGAACACCAGUGGCGCAAGCGGCUCUCUGGACCGAUAUUGACGCUGAGGCACGAAAGCGUGGGGAUCAAACAGGAUUAGAUACCCUGGUAGUCCACGCCGUAAACGAUGAGUGCUUGUCGCUGGUGGGUUUACUCUUCAGUGACGCAGCUAACGCUUUAAGCAUUCCGCCUGGGGAAGUACGGUCGCAAGAUUAAAACUCAAAGGAAUUGACGGGGACCCGCACAAGCGGUGGAGUAUGUGGUUUAAUUCGACGCAACGC